AAGUCCAUUGGCCUGGAAUUUCUCCCACCUGCAUAGAAGUCAGGCCGGGGACCUCUCUCCAUUUCAAAGUCUCUCUGACCUGCAGAGAAGUUCAUAGACCUGGGAUUUCUCCCCAUCUCAAGGUUGGAAUUCUGCAUGGAACUUCUCCCCAUCUCAAAGUCUCUCCGACCUGCAGAGAAGUUCAUAGACCUGGUAUUUCUCUCCAUCUCAAGGUUAGAAUUCUGCAUGGAACUUCUCUCCAUCUCAAAGUCUUCCCGACCUGCAGCAAAGUCUUUGGAGUUGGAAUCUCUCCCUGUUUCAAAGUCUUUAUGACUCGUGGAGUGGAUGAAACUUUG
rnacentral:lncRNA from 1 species